UACGGAGGGGGCUAGCGUUGUUCGGAAUUACUGGGCGUAAAGCGCACGUAGGCGGCUUUGUAAGUUAGAGGUGAAAGCCCGGGGGCUCAACUCCGGAAUUGCCUUUAAGACUGCAUCGCUAGAAUUGUGGAGAGGUAAGUGGAAUUCCGAGUGUAGAGGUGAAAUUCGUAGAUAUUCGGAAGAACACCAGUGGCGAAGGCGACUUACUGGACACAUAUUGACGCUGAGGUGCGAAAGCGUGGGGAGCAAACAGG
rnacentral:rRNA from 1 species